rnacentral:rRNA from 1 species
GACAGAGGGUGCAAACGUUGUUCGGAAUCACUGGGCGUAAAGCGUGUGUAGGCGGCCAUACAAGUCGGAUGUGAAAGCCCUGGGCUCAACCCAGGAAGUGCACCCGAAACUGUGUGGCUUGAGUACUGGAGAGGUUGGUGGAAUUCUCGGUGUAGAGGUGAAAUUCGUAGAUAUCGAAGAGGAACACCGGUGGCGAAGGCGGCCAACUGGACAGAUACUGACGCUGAGACACGAAAGCGUGGGGAGCAAACAGG